GAUGAAGAACGCAGCGAAAUGCGAUAAGUAAUGUGAAUUGCAGAAUUCAGUGAAUCAUCGAAUAUUUGAACGCACAUUGCGCCCGCUAGUAUUCUGGCGGGCAUGCCUGUUCGAGCGUCAUUUCAACCAUCAAGCCCUUUAGCUUGUGUUGGGGACCUGCGGCUGCCGCAGCCCCCGAAAUGCAGUGGCGGGCUCGUUGUCACACCGAGUGCAGUAAUCAUUCUUCUCUACGGGCGUGGCGGCGGGUUCCGGCCGUAAAAUCACCAAUUUAUCAAGGUUGACCUCGGAUCAGGUAGGAAUACCCGCUGAACUUAAGCAUAUCAAUAAGCGGAGGA
rnacentral:misc_RNA from 1 species